rfam:Halodesulfurarchaeum formicicum strain HSR6 chromosome, complete genome.
GGGCACGUAGCUCAGUCCGGACAGAGCGUCGGACUUCUAACCCGGGCAGCCUGGCUGUGUGGGGGAGACAUCCGACGGUCGCGGGUUCAAAUCCCGUCGUGCCCG